ACCCACUGACAGCCAGAAGUUAGCUACCACUACGACUUGCGUGCGAGCAUUUCCCGUCUUGGCAUAUAGACUAUUCCUUCUUCUGAAAACAUACUAGUACAACCUUUUUUUUCAAAAUGAAAAAUGGUCUCAUACUACAACUUUAGUCUUUGAUUGAAGUGAACAUGACAAAGGGAAAAUGCAUCUAGCUCAUGAGAGCGACGUGUUUCUUCAUUUUUGUCAUCAAUCAAAUCAAAGGGAGCAAAAAAGAAAAAAAAUCCCAUCCAGCUCGUCUGGACAUCCCCAUUGGGAAGAGUUCAGAGUUGACAAGCAAAACCGAAACGAGCGAGAUCUGUAGGCUGAUGAUUCUCGCGUCAAUUUGGCCCAAAUGGCCACUGUCAGGUUUUUCCAAUCAUGCAAGGCCUUGUUUACUUCCC
rnacentral:lncRNA from 1 species